GAUUUCCUUACUUUCCGUUUACCUGUAGUUUUCGAAAAAAAGAUAGAUAGGUAAUUGUUGCUUUUUGUUUUAUCUCAAGACGUGAAAAGAAAUUGUUAAUGGCCUUUAAAUCGGAUGUCCAUAAUCUGCCACUUAAAGUGGAAAUCUAUGAGGAUUAUAUCAAUUAAACUAUUCUAAACAUACCCUCACUUCAUACAUUGUAGGCACCAUAAGUGUGUAUAUGAGAAGAUUAGCAUUAUAGAACCUUCAAAAAAAAUUGCACCCAGAAACAAACUUUAGUAAUGGGUAAAAAGUGGAGACAAAAAACACAUUUUCAUACCUCGCGGCCAUAUCCCCAGCACCGUAUGGCAAGUACUCCUCAAGAUUUCCUUACCUCAUCAACUCCCUCUUCGAUGUCAUCUUUUUGCGAAAACUGGCCUUCGGUUGUUUAAGGGACUGCUCACUCUUGACAUUGAUUUUUCCCAUCUAUUGGACCAAAGCAUUAGUUUUUUUCAGCACAUCUGCCAAUUUUUACAUCUUCCUAGCCAGUCAGAUGAUACAAUCAACCUAUCCAUAGAAAAAAAGAAACCAAUAAAAUGUAAAAUAGAUACUUUAUUUGUUGCUGUAUGGAAAGUAAGAUUUUGUUAGCAUCCCGGAUUAUACAUCAUGAAUCAAGACUAAAACUUCAGAAUAAAUUCCAGUUUCUACUGCUCAUGCAUUUUCACCUUCUCCAUCGCUAUUACCUGCCCAUUUAAAAUAACAGCAAACUAGUAAAAUAAUAAAUACUCCAAGUCUAUAAACUUGAAUACCCAAUCAGCUUGUCAAUAUGUAAAGUGCUUUGCAAAACCAUAUCAUGAAAAAGUAUAUGAAACGACGAAGUAAAGUAGGUUGUUGACUUAAAUCUCAAAUUCAAAGAACAAGAACUCAAUUUGUUCUAAAUUAUCAUCUGACAUUUAAUGAGGCUUAAUUUGCACGGCCAAUUCCUUUCUCUUUUCUUCCCCAAUGUUCCCAGUCACUGCCAAAAACAGAUAUGAAUUCUCCAUUCAGAAGUCAUCCACAAUCGAAUCUGACCUUUAGCUUAUUUUUGGCAAUCAAUUCUAGUUAAACCCAAUCAUAUUAAGUUAUCUUAUAACAAGUUUAUUAGUUACACAAGUCCUCAUAGGCACCCUAUGUGGGUGUAGAAAUUAUUAUGAUUAUGGGAGGAGAGGCAGGAAGCCAAGGUCCUCUACAAAUUUUAGAAAUUUCAAUGAGAUUAGGCAUUUCACAUAACUAAUAGUAUUCCUCAAGCUUUCGUAAUGAAACCCAAACAAGCACUAAAUAUAUGCUGAUUGCUGAAUGGGUACUGAUAGAUUAUUCCAGAGAAACUGACUUUAGACUGUUGACAAUGU
rnacentral:lncRNA from 1 species